GGCACAGUGGCGGAGUGGUCUAACGCGUGUGACUCGAAUUGGGAAUCGUUCAAAUUCGAUAUAAAGUCGAAUAGAUUUCCAGAGUUCAUCACAUCUCUUCGGAGGCGCCCGUUCGAAUCGGGCCUGUGUCG
rnacentral:tRNA from 1 species